GGCUCCAUAGUGUAGUGGUUAGCACAUCUGCUUUACACAUAGACGGUCCUGGGUUCAUGCCUUGGGUGGAGCCA
rnacentral:tRNA from 1 species